rnacentral:rRNA from 1 species
UGGGGGCAACCCUGAACGAGCAAUGCCGCGUGAGCGAAGAAGGUCUUCGGAUUGUAAAGCUCUGUUGCCGGGAAAAGGAAGGAAAGAGGAAAUGCUUUUCUUUGGAUGGUACCCGGCCAGAAAGUCACGGCUAACUACGUGCC